UACGUAGGGUGCAAGCGUUGUCCGGAUUUACUGGGCGUAAAGCGCGCGCAGGCGGCACAUUAAGUAAGGGGUGAAAUAUCCCGGCUCAACCGGGAGGGUGCACUUUAGACUGGUGAGCUUGAGGUCGGUAGAGGGGGGUGGAAUUGCUGGUGUAGCGGUGAAAUGCGUAGAGAUCAGCAGGAACACCCGUGGCGAAGGCGGCCCCCUGGGCCGUACCUGACGCUGAGGCGCGAAGGCUAGGGGAGCGAACGGG
rnacentral:rRNA from 1 species